rnacentral:rRNA from 1 species
ACCGGCAGCUCAAGUGGUGGCCAUUUUUAUUGGGCCUAAAGCGUUCGUAGCCGGUUUGAUAAGUCUCUGGUGAAAUCCCGCAGCUUAACUGUGGGACUUGCUGGAGAUACUAUUAGACUUGAGGUCGGGAGAGGUUAGGGGUACUCCCAGGUGAGGGGUAAAACCAUAAAACCCGGGGAGGACCGCCUGUGGCGAAGGCGCCUAACUGGAACGAACCUGACGGUGAGUAACGAAAGCCAGGGGCGCGAACCG